rnacentral:rRNA from 1 species
GACGCUGGCGGCGUGCCUAAUACAUGCAAGUUGAGCGCUGAAGGUUGGUACUUGUACCAACUGGAUGAGCAGCGAACGGGUGAGUAACGCGUGGGGAAUCUGCCUUUGAGCGGGGGACAACAUUUGGAAACGAAUGCUAAUACCGCAUAAAAACUUUAAACACAAGUUUUAAGUUUGAAAGAUGCAAUUGCAUCACUCAAAGAUGAUCCCGCGUUGUAUUAGCUAGUUGGUGAGGUAAAGGCUCACCAAGGCGAUGAUACAUAGCCGACCUGAGAGGGUGAUCGGCCACGUUGGGACUGAGACACGGCCCAAACUCCUACGGGAGGCAGCAGUAGGGAAUCUUCGGCAAUGGACGAAAGUCUGACCGAGCAACGCCGCGUGAGUGAAGAAGGUUUUCGGAUCGUAAAACUCUGUUGGUAGAGAAGAACGUUGGUGAGAGUGGAAAGCUCAUCAAGUGACGGUAACUACCCAGAAAGGGACGGCUAACUACGUGCCAGCAGCCGCGGUAAUACGUAGGUCCCGAGCGUUGUCCGGAUUUAUUGGGCGUAAAGCGAGCGCAGGUGGUUUAUUAAGUCUGGUGUAAAAGGCAGUGGCUCAACCAUUGUAUGCAUUGGAAACUGGUAGACUUGAGUGCAGGAGAGGAGAGUGGAAUUCCAUGUGUAGCGGUGAAAUGCGUAGAUAUAUGGAGGAACACCGGUGGCGAAAGCGGCUCUCUGGCCUGUAACUGACACUGAGGCUCGAAAGCGUGGGGAGCAAAC